GCUCGUGGCUGCCAAAGGUUUGCUGGAUGCGAAGAGUCCAGGACCCUUGACUGCGGAGGCCGGAGGCUGACGAGUGUGCCUGCCCUAGAACCCUACACUCCGUUCCCGUUCCGCGUGUGGGGAGGUGUAUUCCGCCUUAGAAACAGCCUGAUCAUCUCCACCGAGAGCCGCCUGCCGGGAUGUCCAAAAGGCCCCGCUCCCAGUUAGAGCAAGACACCCCAGGAGGUGUCCGCUGUGAGACACGCCCGCAGCCACCGCAGCUGUUCCACAGUGGUGACCAAAUGGCGGUUUGUGGCCACAGCCUGCCUCCCCAGGAGCGUGGGAGUCCCGUGGUGAUGAAUGAAGUGUCAGAGAUGGCCGAGAAUUACAGGAAGUUAUUCCAGGAGAUGUUGGACACAUUGAAGGAGAAACUUGAAGCAGCUAAAAUCAUACUGGCUGAUGAACAAGAAAGAAUGGUGAUGAUGCAGAAAGAGGAGCAGAAUUUUAAAGAAAUGAUUGAGUCUGAAUAUAGCAUAAGGAUCCGGUUGAUAACUGAAGAAAAUGAGAUGAACUUGCGAAGCCUGCAAGGCGGAUUCAGCUUGAAUUUGACACAAACCAGUCAGAACCAACUGAUGGAGUUUGCCACGAACCUAAAGGAGAAGUUCCAGGAAACACUACAGAGACUGAACUUUCUGGGGAGAGAGAACAUGAAGAAACUGAAGGAUAGUGAAGUCAGGCUUUCUGAACAGAUCUGCAGCCUCCAGCAGAUCACCACGGAGCUCGAGAAGAAGUGUAGGCAGCCCGCCUCGGUGUUGCUCCAGAAUGCAAAAUAUGCUUUGGAAAGGAGUCAGUCACUACUGCAUCAGUUUCUACAGCCCGCCCAAAUCACAGACCUGAGUUUGUGCCAAAUAACAGGAAUGAGCAAAAUGCUCAAAGUGCUGCAAAGACCUAUAACUUUGGACCCUAAAACAGCUCAUCCCUAUCUGGUCUUGUCCGAGGAUCUAAGAAGUGUGAAACUUAGAAACAUGCAGCGGGGUGUACCUGGUCACCCUGAGAGAUUUGAUUUCAGCGCCACCGUGCUGGGUGUGCAGAGCUUCACCUCAGGGCGGCACUACUGGGAGGUGGACGUGGGCAAGGCGGCGCAGUGGCAGCUGGGCGUGUACAGGAGCUCUACCGUCAGAAGCAGUUCCGGAAAUAAGGUCUUACUCACAGGAUCUCUCAUGGGAACCGAUCACACCUUCUGGGCUUUUCCCCCUUUCAAAAGGGUCUCCUUGAGAGAGCAAGUGCACAGAGUUGGAGUUUUCCUGGACUAUGAGUAUGAGCAGAUAUCGUUCUAUGAUGCCGCAAAGGGCUCUCUCAUCUAUAAUUUCUCUUAUCUCGCCUUCCAGGGAGCUCUCAGGCCUAUAUUUUCUCUCAGUAUCUCCAGUGGAGGCGUGAAUUCAGACUCUUUGAGUAUCUGCCUCCCUCACGUUUCUCCUUGUAAUGAUACUGUUAGCUCUCAGCCCUCUUCGGCGUGA
rnacentral:lncRNA from 1 species